AUUUAAAGAGUGCGUAAUAGCUCACUGGUCGAGUGCUGAUGCGCCGAAGAUUAACGGGGCUAAAACCUGCCACCGAAGCUAUGGAUUUGCCGCAAGGCAAGUGGUAGAGGAGCAAUGUGUACAGGCAGAAGCCGUACCGUCAGGAGCGGUGGACAGUACACAAGAGAGAAUGCCGGUAUGAGUAGCGAGAGUGAGGUGAGAAUCCUCACCGUCGAAAGCCAAAGGUUUCCUGAGGAAGGUUCGUCCUCUCAGGGUAAGUCGGGGACUAAGCCGAGGGCGGUAGAGCCGUAGGCGAUGACCAGCAGGUAGAGAUUCCUGCACCACCAGUGUAUCGUUUGAGGAAGCAGUGACACAGAAGGAUAGUCAGAGCGCGUUGAUGGUAGAGCGCGUCCAAGCAGUGAGGCUGAUACGCAGUAAAGUACACGUAUCGAAAGGCUGGGCUGUGACGGGGAGUUAAGUGAUAUGAAGCUGAUGAAUUCACGCUGGCGAGAAAAGCUGCUAACGAGAUAUACGGUGCCCGUACCGCAAACCGACACAGGUAGGCGAGGAGAGAAUCCUAAGACGAGCGAGAGAACCAUUGUUAAGGAACUCGGCAAAAUUACCUCGUAACUUCGGGAGAAGGGGUGCCUAUAGAGAUAUAGGUCGCAGAGAAUAGGCCCAAGCGACUGUUUAACAAAAACACAGGUCUGUGCUAAAUCGAGAGAUGAAGUAUACGGGCUGACGCCUGCCCGGUGCUGGAAGGUUAAGGGAAUGAGUCAGGAGCAAUCCGAAGCUUUGAACUGAAGCCCCAGUAAACGGCGGCCGUAACUAUAACGGUCCUAAGGUAGCGAAAUUCCUUGUCGGGUAAGUUCCGACCUGCACGAAUGGCGUAACGAUUUGGGCGCUGUCUCAACAGUGGACUCGGCGAAAUUGUAGUAUGCGUGAAGAUGCGCAUUACCCGCGACUGGACGGAAAGACCCCGUAGAGCUUUACUGUAGCCUGAUAUUGGAUUUUGGUAAUGAAUGUACAGGAUAGGUGGGAGACUGAGAGACAAGGACGUCAGUUUUUGUGGAGUCGACGUUGGGAUACCACUCUUUCAUUACUGAAAUUCUAACCUGUAGCCGUAAAUCCGGUAUGGGGACAGUGUCAGGUGGGCAGUUUGACUGGGGCGG
rnacentral:rRNA from 1 species